rnacentral:lncRNA from 1 species
AUUUAUCUUUUCAAGAUAUUAAAAAAAGUUAUGCUAAAAUUUUUGCUGAAGCAAAAACUUCGAAAAAAAUAUCACGAAAAGGAAAAAACAAUAACACGAAUAUAAAGAAUGAUAGUAAUCAAAAUGUAAAAGAUGAUAUUACAGAGGAAUACAAUAUGAAGACUCAUGACAAUGAAAUCGAUGAUGGUUUAAACAAUGACAAUAUAAAAAGUGACAAUAUAAAAAGUGACAAUAUAAAAAGUGACAAUAUAAAAAGUGACAAUAUAAAAAGUGACAGUAAAAACAAUGACAAUAUAAGCAAUGACAAUAUAAACAAUGACAAUAUAAACAAUGACAAUGAUCACGAUUCUUCGAAAUUUAACGAUGUAGAGGCACUUAAAGAAAAAAAAAAUAUACACGAUUUGAAAUUAGAUAAAAGGACACAGCUUAAGCGUACAUGUAUAUCAAAUAACACACGAAAAAGAAAAGAUAACAAUGCUAUUGAAAAUAUCAUGUCGGAUACAUGUAAUAAUAAAGAUGGACAUAAUAAUAUUUUUAAUAAUGAUAAAAAAAAUGAUGAUACAAAUGCUAUGACUAUCGAUAGAAGUAAAAUAGAACAAUUUGAAAAAGAACCUAAGCACACGAAAUUUUCUCUUCAAAACGAAAAAAAAAUAACAAAUGAAGAUCCAGAAAAUAAUGUUGCAACUGUGGGAAAUUUAAAAAAAGGGAAAAAAAAUACUUCAAAGAAAGUAGAAAAAGAUACUAAUGCUAAUGUAAAAAAAAAAAAAAAAAAAAAAACUACUGAAAACGUAACUGAUGAUAUAGAUUCGACAUACGAUGAUGGUAUAAAUCAUAACAUUAAUAAAAACAAAUAUAUUAACAUUGAUACUGUUAACGACAACAAUAAUAAUAAUAAUAGUAGUAAUAAUAAUAGUAAUAAUAAUAAUAACAAUAAUAAUAAUAAAGAGAGUAUCAGUUAUAAUGAUGAUCAUGAAAUUAAUGGUGAUUAUUUAUUGAAUAAGAAAUGUAGUAUACUUAAAAAAAAUAAAAAUGUAAGUAAAAAUAAGCACACUGAUGCUAAUGGUGGCACCAAUUCUAAUAGAAAAAUGAACAAAGCAAAAGAUGAAAAGGACGAAAAAGAUGAUAAAGACGAUAAAGACGAUAAAGACGAUAAAGACGAUAAAGACGAUAAAGACGAUAAAGACGAUAAAGACGAUAAAGACGAUAAAGAUGAUGAAGACAAUAAAGACGAUAAAGAUGAUAAAGACGAUAAAGAUGAUGAAGACAAUAAAGUCGAUAAAAACGAUAAAAACGAUAAAAACGAUAAAAACGAUAAAAACGNNNNNNNNNNAAAACGAUAAAAACGAUAAAAACGAUAAAAACGAUAAAAACGAUAAAUACGAUAAAUACGAUAAAAACGAUAAAUAUGAUAAAAACGAUAAAUAUGAUAAAUAUGAUAAAAACGAUAAAUAUGAUAAAAACGAUAAAAACGAUAAAAACGAUAAAAGCGAAGAAGACAACAAAGACGAUAAAAACGAUAAAUAUGAUAAAAACGAUAAAUAUGAUAAAAACGAUAAAAACGAUAAAAACGANNNNNNNNNNNNNNNNNNNNNNNNNNNNNNNNNNNNNNNNNNNNNNNNNNNNNNNNNNNNNNNNNNNNNNNNNNNNNNNNNNNNNNNNNNNNNNNNNNNNAAUAUAAAAAGCAAAAAAAAAACAAUUAAAAACAAAAAAAGUAUAGUGUAUGAUCAUAAAUACAACACUACUAGUAUUGAUAAUGGUAUCAUUCAUCUUAAUGCUAAUUCUACUACAACUACUAGUGUGGGUCUUAAUGCUAAUUAUAGUUAUAAUAAUUAUGAUUAUGACAAUGACUUUGAUUAUGAUUAUGAUAUGGCCCGUAUGGAUAGCACCACAACGAAAGAUGUAGACAAAGAAAAAAUGAGUGAAUACGAAUUACAUUAUAGUUUAGAAAAUGAAUAUGUGCAAACUAAUUUGGAGAAAGAAAGUGCGUCAGGUGAUGAUAUAUAUGGUAAAAACAAAAAAUAUAAAAAUGAAGAACAUAAAAAUGAAAAAACAGUAUUGAAAGAUGUUGAAAAAGUGAAUAAUAAUAAAAAUGAUACAAAAAUAGAAAAAAAAAAAAAUAAAAUAGAUAACCAACCGUAUUCUAAAACAACGAUGGUAGAAAAGACUAAAAAUAAAAUGACAACUCGUGAAUUAUUAUAUGACAAUAAAGCCAAUAAUAUAACACCGAACAUGAAUGCUAAGAAAUUAAAUAGAGAUAGUGACAAGAAAUCUACAACAGAAAAUAAAAAUGAAACUAGUACCGAAUUAAAAAAAUAUAAGGAUCCCACAUUUCGAGAAAUGAAAAAAAGAAGAAAAACAUCUGAAAGUGAUGAGGAUCGUAAAUUGAUAAUAGAAAAAGAAAAGAAAAGAAAAACAAGUAGGAGCAAUGAGGAAGAAAAAAAUAAAGAGAUAUACAAAAAAGAAAAGCAUAUUGAUAAUUAUGAUAAUAAUAAAAUAGGAAAAAUGAGGUGUAAUGACAUGGAAAAUGAAAAAGAAUUUAUAAAAUAUAGCACAGAAAGAAACGAUCAUUAUUCAAAAAGUCAUUCAAAAGAAAAUUAUGACAACAAUUCUUAUCAUAGUAAAUCUAAAUCAUAUGGUAGUAGUGGUCAUAAAGACCAACCUAGUAAUAGUAAAUCUAAAUCUUAUACUAGUAAUUAUUAUAAUGAUAAUAAAUCUUACCCUAAUAAAUAUUAUAAUGAUAACAAAUCUAAACUGUAUACUAAUAAAUAUUAUAAUGAUAACAAAUCUAAAUCUUUUGGUUUUAAAUAUUAUGUAGAAAAAUAUAAUAACAAAACAUUAUAUGACAAGAAACCACAUGACUUUAAAACAGUUGACAAUAACAGAAUGUAUGAGAAUACACAUUAUAAUAAAGGUUUCUAUAAUAAUAAGCUAUCUGAUAGUAUUUAUAAUAAAAAAGAUUAUAAUUUGGCAUUCCCUAACGACGAUAUUUAUGAUAAACAAUAUUAUAAUAAUAAAACAUAUGUUAAUAAAACAUACGUUAAUAAAUCAUAUGUGAAUAAAUCAUAUCUUAAUAAAUCAUAUGUUAGUAAACCAUAUGAUAGUCAACCAUAUGAUAGUACUCUUUAUGAUAACAAACUUUAUGAUAGCAAACUUUAUGAUAGCAAAUCUUAUGAUAACAAAUCUUAUGAUAACAAACUUUAUGAUAACAAACUUUAUGAUAGCAAACUUUAUGAUAGCAAAUCUUAUGAUAACAAAUCUUAUGAUAACAAACUUUAUGAUAACAAGCCGUAUGAUAACAAACCGUAUGAUAACAAACCGUAUGAUAACAAACCGUAUGAUAACAAACCGUAUGAUAACAAACCGUAUGAUAACAAACCGUAUGAUAACAAACCGUAUGAUAAUAAUAAGCCUUAUGAUAACAGACCUUAUGAUAACAAACCGUAUGAUAACAAACCGUAUGAUAACAGAUCGUAUGAUAACAGACCGUAUGAUAGCAAAUCUUAUGAUAGCAAAUCUUAUGAUAGCAAACCUUAUGGUAGUAAACCUUAUGGUAGUACAUACUAUGACAACAAACCAUACGGUAAUAUUAAAUAUUAUGAACACAUCAAAUAUAAUACUAACUCGUAUAGUAAUAGAACUCAUAAAAGUAAUUCGUUAGAAAAGAACUAUUACGAGGUGAAACAUUUUGGUGGUUAUAACGACAAUUAUAAA